rnacentral:rRNA from 1 species
UACGAAGGGUGCAAACGUUGCUCGGAAUCAUUGGGCGUAAAGCGCACGUAGGCGGCCUUGCAAGUCGGAUGUGAAAUCCCACGGCUCAACCGUGGACGUGCAUCCGAAACUGCUCGGCUCGAGUAUGGAAGAGGGUCGCGGAAUUCCCGGUGUAGAGGUGAAAUUCGUAGAUAUCGGGAGGAACACCAGUGGCGAAGGCGGCGACCUGGGCCAAUACUGACGCUGAGGCGCGAAAGCGUGGGGAGCAAACAGG